GCCGCAGAAUUCCGGUUCUAAAGUCUAAAGGCUUUGGGAAGAGCUGUCCACGGUGCGAACAAAAGUCCGCCAGUCUCUCUGUUUUCUUUCCAUUUCUGCACAACGCGCCUAAUAAAACCCUUCCAAACCUAAAACCCCCACUCAUUUCCCUUCCAUUUCUAUUCCCUAUCCAACUUGUCCUUCGCCAGACUCUGGACUAGAUACCAAACAAUUCACAAAUCAGAGAAACCUGAAAAACCCUAGAUUCGCAAAAUGUCGAUGUCGAAGAGCUCUAAGAUGCUCCAAUAUAUCAACUAUCGGAUGCGGGUCACCAUCCAGGACGGCCGGCAGCUGGUCGGAAAGUUCAUGGCCUUCGACCGCCACAUGAAUCUUGUCCUCGGAGACUGCGAGGAGUUUCGCAAGCU
rnacentral:misc_RNA from 1 species